rnacentral:rRNA from 1 species
CGAAAGCCUGACGGAGCAACGCCGCGUGGGGGAAGAAGGUUCUUGGAUUGUAAACCCCUUUUCUCAGGGAAGAAGUUCUGACGGUACCUGAGGAAUCAGCCUCGGCUAACUCCGUGCCAGCAGCCGCGGUAAUACGGAGGAGGCAAGCGUUAUCCGGAAUUAUUGGGCGUAAAGCGUCCGCAGGGGGCGCAUCAAGUCUGCUGUCAAAGGUCGGAGCUUAACUCCGGUUCGGCAGUGGAAACUGGUGCGCUAGAGGGCGACAGGGGUAGAGGGAAUUCCCAGUGUAGCGGUGAAAUGCGUAGAGAUUGGGAAGAACACCGGUGGCGAAAGCGCUCUACUGGGUCGCACCUGACCCUCAGGGACGAAAGCUAAGGUAGCG